UGUAGUUGUAAACUUUUUUAUCUUGGUUUAGGCUAUCUCGGUAUGUGCUAACUUGUGGGGGUAUGAACAAGUGGUCUUUUUGUGUUUUUGGUGUAAAUGAUUUUUCAAAUAUUUUAUUCAUAUUCAUAUUCUGGUAUCUUGGUCGAUUAACUCCUUUGCUUGUACCUGCAGAAGUAGAUUGAUAAAUGUUAUGGGUUUUAUGGAGUGUCCCAACGUCUCCUUCU
rnacentral:lncRNA from 1 species